CCUACGGGUGGCAGCAGUGGGGAAUAUUGGGCAAUGGGCGCAAGCCUGACCCAGCAACGCCGCGUGAAGGAAGAAGGCUUUCGGGUUGUAAACUUCUUUUCUCAGGGACGAAGCAGGUGUUGGUACCUGAGGAAUAAGCCACGGCUAACUACGUGCCAGCCACCGGCGUAAUACGUAGGUGGCAAGCGUUAGCCGGAUUUACUGGGUGUAAAGGGCGGGUAGGCGGGAAAGCAAGUCAGAUGUUAAAACCAUGGGCUCAACCUGUGUACUGCAGUUGAAACUGUUUUACUAGAGUAUGUGAGAGGCAAGUGGAAUUCCAAGUGUAGCGGUGAAAUGCGUAGAUAUGAGGAGGAACACCAGUGGCGAAGGCGGCCUGCUGGGCAGAAACUGACGCUGAGGCGCGAAAGCGUGGGGAGCAAACAGGAUUAGAUACCCCGGUAGUC
rnacentral:rRNA from 1 species